CCCUAGAGUUUGAUCCUGGCUCAGGACGAACGCUGGCGGCGCGCCUAACACAUGCAAGUCGAACGAGCGAGAGGAGGUUUACUUUCUCAAGCGAGUGGCGAACGGGUGAGUAACGCGUGAGGAACCUGCCUCAAAGAGGGGGACAACAGUUGGAAACGACUGCUAAUACCGCAUAAGCCCACGACCCGGCAUCGGGUAGAGGGAAAAGGAGCAAUCCGCUUUGAGAUGGCCUCGCGUCCGAUUAGCUAGUUGGUGAGGUAAUGGCCCACCAAGGCGACGAUCGGUAGCCGGACUGAGAGGUUGAACGGCCACAUUGGGACUGAGACACGGCCCAGACUCCUACGGGAGGCAGCAGUGGGGAAUAUUGCACAAUGGGGGAAACCCUGAUGCAGCGACGCCGCGUGGAGGAAGAAGGUCUUCGGAUUGUAAACUCCUGCUGUUGAGGAAGAUAAUGACGGUACUCAACAAGGAAGUGACGGCUAACUACGUGCCAGCAGCCGCGGUAAAACGUAGGUCACAAGCGUUGUCCGGAAUUACUGGGUGUAAAGGGAGCGCAGGCGGGAAGGCAAGUUGGAAGUGAAAUCCAUGGGCUCAACCCAUGAACUGCUUUCAAAACUGUUUUUCUUGAGUAGUGCAGAGGUAGGCGGAAUUCCCGGUGUAGCGGUGGAAUGCGUAGAUAUCGGGAGGAACACCAGUGGCGAAGGCGGCCUACUGGGCACCAACUGACGCUGAGGCUCGAAAGUGUGGGUAGCAAACAGGAUUAGAUACCCUGGUAGUCCACACUGUAAACGAUGAUUACUAGGUGUUGGAGGAUUUGACCCCUUCAGGUGCCGCAGUUUAACACAAUAAGUAAAUCCACCUGGGGAGUACGACCGCAAGGUUGAAACUCAAAGGAAUUGACGGGGGCCCGCACAAGCAGUGGAGUAUGUGGUUUAAUUCGACGCAACGCGAAGAACCUUACCAAGUCUUGACAUCCUGCGACGCACAUAGAAAUAUGUGUUUCCUUCGGGACGCAGAGACAGGUGGUGCAUGGUUGUCGUCAGCUCGUGUCGUGAGAUGUUGGGUUAAGUCCCGCAGCGAGCGCAACCCUUAUGGUCAGUUACUACGCAAGAGGACUCUGGCCAGACUGCCGUUGACAAAACGGAGGAAGGUGGGGAUGACGUCAAAUCAUCAUGCCCUUUAUGACUUGGGCUACACACGUACUACAAUGGCGUUAAACAAAGAGAAGCAAGACCGCGAGGUGGAGCAAAACUCAGAAACAACGUCCCAGUUCGGACUGCAGGCUGCAACUCGCCUGCACGAAGUCGGAAUUGCUAGUAAUCGCAGAUCAGCAUGCUGCGGUGAAUACGUUCCCGGGCCUUGCACACACCGCCCGUCA
rnacentral:rRNA from 1 species